GGAGCCAAGGGGUGCGCCCCAAGUAGGCCGAAUCCUACUUGGGGUCUUCCCCAAUUCGGCCUCCCCCCUUCCAUAAUUGCCGGAAGGAAAAAGGGAAGAGGGAAGAAGAGAAGGAAGGGGGGCUGAACCCCCUCUUCUCCU
rnacentral:sRNA from 1 species